rnacentral:pre_miRNA from 1 species
AGAGGGAUAGCUGGGUCAAAUAGGCUUCCAUUCCCAAUUUUUCAAGAAAUCUCCAUACUGCUUUCCAUAUUGGCUGAACCAAUUUGCAGUCCCACCAGCAAU